rnacentral:rRNA from 1 species
UGGGGAAUAUUGCACAAUGGGCGCAAGCCUGAUGCAGCCAUGCCGCGUGUAUGAAGAAGGCCUUCGGGUUGUAAAGUACUUUCAGUCGGGAGGAAGGUGGUAAGGUUAAUAACCUUAUCAAUUGACGUUACCGACAGAAGAAGCACCGGCUAACUCCGUGCCAGCAGCCGCGGUAAUACGGAGGGUGCAAGCGUUAAUCGGAAUUACUGGGCGUAAAGCGCACGCAGGCGGUUGAUUGAGUCAGAUGUGAAAUCCCCGGGCUUAACCCGGGAAUUGCAUCUGAUACUGGUCAGCUAGAGUCUUGUAGAGGGGGGUAGAAUUCCAUGUGUAGCGGUGAAAUGCGUAGAGAUGUGGAGGAAUACCGGUGGCGAAGGCGGCCGCCUGGACAAAGACUGACGCUCAGGUGCGAAAGCGUGGGGAGCAAACAGG